UGCGCAGGCGGAAUAUUAAGUCAGUGGUGAAAUACUGCCGCUUAACGGUAGAACUGCCAUUGAUACUGCGAAUCUUGAGUAUGGUUGAGGUAGGCGGAAUGUGUAGUGUAGCGGUGAAAUGCAUAGAUAUUACACAGAACUCCGAUUGCGAAGGCAGCUUACUAAGCCAUAACUGACGCUGAGGCACGAAAGCGUGGGGAGCGAACAGGAUUAGAUACCCUGGUAGUCC
rnacentral:rRNA from 1 species